UACAGAGGUCUCAAGCGUUAUUCGGAUUCAUUGGGCGUAAAGGGUGCGUAGGUGGCGAUGUAAGUCUGGUGUGAAAUCUCGGAGCUUAACUCCGAAAUUGCAUUGGAUACUGCGUUGCUUGAGGAUUGUAGAGGAGAGUGGAAUUCACGGUGUAGCAGUGAAAUGCGUAGAUAUCGUGAGGAAGACCAGUUGCGAAGGCGACUCUCUGGGCAAUUCCUGACACUGAGGCACGAAGGCCAGGGGAGCAAACGGG
rnacentral:rRNA from 1 species